GGGGCUGUGGCUCAGUGGUAGAGCACUUGCCUAGCACGUGUGAGGCACUGGGUUCAAUCUCCAGCACCA
rnacentral:tRNA from 1 species